rnacentral:rRNA from 1 species
GAUGAACGCUAGCUACAGGCUUAACACAUGCAAGUCGAGGGGCAGCAUGACGAUAGCUUGCUAUUGUUGAUGGCGACCGGCGCACGGGUGAGUAACGCGUAUCCAACCUGCCCUUGUCCAUCGGAUAACCCGUCGAAAGGCGGCCUAACACGAUAUGCAGUUCUCGGCAGGCAUCUAACGAGAACGAAAUGUGAAGGAGAAGGAUGGGGAUGCGUCUGAUUAGCUUGUUGGCGGGGUAACGGCCCACCAAGGCGACGAUCAGUAGGGGUUCUGAGAGGAAGGUCCCCCACAUUGGAACUGAGACACGGUCCAAACUCCUACGGGAGGCAGCAGUGAGGAAUAUUGGUCAAUGGACGGAAGUCUGAACCAGCCAAGUAGCGUGCAGGAUGACGGCCCUAUGGGUUGUAAACUGCUUUUAUACGGGGAUAAAGUGAGGGACGUGUCCCUUAUUGCAGGUACCGUAUGAAUAAGGACCGGCUAAUUCCGUGCCAGCAGCCGCCGCAGUAA